rnacentral:rRNA from 1 species
CCUACGGGAGGCUGCAGUGGGGGAUAUUGCACAAUGGGGGAAACCCUGAUGCAGCGACGCCGCGUGAGUGAAGAAGUCUUUCGGUAUGUAAAGCUCUAUCAGCAGGGAAGAAAAUGACAGUACCUGACCAAGCCGCCCCGGCUAACUACGUGCCAGCAGCCGCGGUAAUCCGUAGGGGGCAAGCGUUUCCGGAUUUACUGGGUGUAAAGGGAGCGUAGACGGUUAUGUAAGUCUGGAGUGAAAGCCCGGGGCCCAACCCCGGGACUGCUUUGGAAACUGUGUAACUGGAGUGCAGGAGGGGCAGGCGGAAUUCCUGGUGUAGCGGUGAAAGGCGUAGAUAUCAGGAGGAACACCGGCGGCGAAGGCGGCCUGCUGGACUGAAACUGACGUUGAGGCUCGAAAGCGUGGGGAGCAAACAGGAUUAGAUACCCUAGUAGUC